GAACACAGGCGUCAGGAUGUGAAAAAGUGUGUGGGAAGGCUUCAGAAAGUGCUGGGGCGCCAAAGAUCGUGGGCGGGGAAGCAUCGACCCCUGGAGAAUACCCCUGGAUGGUUUAUCUGAACAUCUUUGAUGGCAUGAAAUCCUCCUUCUGCGGUGGAUCCAUCCUCACGACAACUCACAUUAUAACGGCAGCCCACUGUGUCAAUUACGAUAGUCCACAGGUAAUAGUUGUAGCAGGCGAGCACAAUAUAAAAACAGAUGACGAAAUUGUCACACAGAUCAUUCGUGGUAAAAAAAUCACGAUGCAUCCGAAGUUCA